CCAAUCAAAGACAACUAUCCACCUCUACUCGUGGAUAUUGUUGGAGAGACAAAGGAACAGUUAUUAGACACCUGGGGAGACCCCCUCCCGAGUCAGAAAAUGUGACUUUCCAUGGCCUGUGAUACGACACAUGUUGAGGUCCAUCUGGAAGCUGUCUACGUCAUCGGCCCCAGCAGUGCUGACUGAUAUGAAACCCUGGCCAGUCACCUUUAGAAACCAGUAUGUUUAAGUGGACAGAGCUGUGAUUUCCACACUGGCUAACCAGAGAGCAGCCCGGGCUGCUUUAGAGAAACACCAGGGAGAGGGUCUGGUGCCAGGGCUUUUGAAAGGGACUCCACUGACUCAGGUUGUUUCUAAAAUCUGGGAAGCCUUCUCCUGUGCCCUCCUCCCACAGAGUUCCCUGCAGUCAUUUCUGAGACUCAGCAGGUUUUCUUGCUAGAUUUAAAAAUAUAUUCACUAAAGGCCAAAAAAUGAUAUGAUGUAGGACAUUACCAGCUCAUACCAGUUUGAAAGGUUGGACUGAGUUGAAAGAUGCCUCUGAAAACUGAUGUCCACCCAGACCCUGUGAAUGUAACCUUAUGCAAGAGUAGGUUCCUUGCAGAUGUAAUCAAGUCAAGAUGUGGUCAUCCCGGGUUGAGUGCACCCUAAAGCCAAUAUGACUGAUAUCCUUGUAAGAAGAGGAAAUUUGGAUGUAGAGACAUGGAGGAAGGCCAUGUGAUGACAAAGACAGAGAUGGGAGCAGGGAAACUCCAAGGACUGCUACAAACACCAGGAGCAAGGAAG
ensembl:lncRNA